UCUUUCUAUAAAGUUAAUACCCAAAGCUGAAACCUCAACGUCCCACGUCAUUACUAAUUCUCAGCCGUUCGAUCGGUGGAUGAUAUCGCAUAUGAACCGUUGGAUGAGAAGGUCCCCGGGUGAAGCCCAGCCCAUCACGGCCCAUGUCCUCUCUCUCCAAGGUUUCUUCACCCUCCACCGCAUCACAACAUCCGCCGCCACCACAAGCGCUCGCUUCUCCUCCCCCGUCCCCGCGCGCCAGCCGCCGUGCUCGGCGGACGCGGACGAGCGCGGCAACGACGGCAGCGGACGCGGACGAGGGAUGCGACAGCGGUCGAGGGCGCGGUGGACGCGGACGAGGGCGGCGACGGUCGCGGACGAGGGCGGUGGCAGCGGUCGAGGGCGGCGGCGGCGGCGACGACGGCGGACGCGAACGAUGGCGGCUGCGUCGGUCACGGCGAACGCGGACGAGGGCGGCAGCGGCGGAGGUCGUGGACGAGGACGGCAGCGGUUGAGGGCGGCGGCAGUGGUCGAUGGCGUGGUGGACGCGGACGAGGGCGGCGGCGGCGACGACGGCGGCGGAAGCGGACACGGACGAAGGCGGGAGCAUCUGUCAUGGCGAACGCAGACGAGGGCGGCAAGCCGACAACGGCGGUCGUGGCAUAUGAUGUGAUAAUAUGUUCUGAGAUUUAUUUGUUUUGCAGCUCUGAUGUGUAGAUGAGUACUCUCCGUCUCUCCAUCGUAUAUCGAGAAUGCCUAUUGCCUGUGAUGCCUUCUAUGUUUCGGUUCUGAGCAGCAGUUGAGCAAAUAAGGAGGCAAGAUUCUAAGGAUUCAAACUUAUUGUGUUUAGUUAAGCAACACAACAAGGUCACCACUUAAAUCUUUUUUUGUGUAUGUAUGGAUAUAUUCCCUUUAUUCAUUGAUUUGCACUACUUUA